CCUACGGGGGGCAGCAGUGGGGAAUAUUGGACAAUGGGCGAAAGCCUGAUCCAGCCAUGCCGCGUGUGUGAAGAAGGCCUUCGGGUUGUAAAGCACUUUCAGUGGGGAAGAAAGCCUUGGGGCUAAUACCCUCGAGGAAGGACAUCACCCACAGAAGAAGCACCGGCUAACUCCGUGCCAGCAGCCGCGGUAAUACGGAGGGGGCGAGCGUUAAUCGGAAUUACUGGGCGUAAAGCGCGCGUAGGCGGUCUGAUAAGCCGGUUGUGAAAGCCCCGGGCUCAACCUGGGAACGGCAUCCGGAACUGUCAGGCUAGAGUGCAGGAGAGGAAGGUAGAAGUCCCGGUGUAGCGGUGAAAUGCGUAGAGAUCGGGAGGAAUACCAGUGGCGAAGGCGGCCUUCUGGACUGACACUGACGCUGAGGUGCGAAAGCGUGGGUAGCAAACAGGAUUAGAUACCCGAGUAGUC
rnacentral:rRNA from 1 species